rnacentral:lncRNA from 1 species
UUUUGUUUACUAGGCAAAGCUGCACAUAAAUGGUACCUCCAUGGUUGUCCAAAUUGGUGACCUUGACAUCAGAACCCUGGAAAACGCUGUACCAACUACUCAGAUACCUGGAGUGCCAGUACAAAGACAGCUGGUCACAGAAGAUGCCCGGAUGAGAUAAAAGACCAAAGCUACAAACUGAAUGAAACAACUAAAAUUAAUCAAUUUGCAAGUAAGUGAUUUGAAUAGAAGAAAGGCGAGUGGAACACUCCAAAGCCUGCCGCCCUAAGACCGUUCUAAACCAGACUUAAAUGCUCUGAAUUCAAUUGUUAUCCUUUUUUUUUCUAGUUCUUUUUCCAGCUUAGAAGCAGGAACAUGGAGUGAAGAUCAGACAACACUUUCCUAUCCAGCAAAGUCUGUGUUGAACCCUGUGAUCCUCUCCUCCCAAUCAGAAAAGUGUUGCCUUGGCAACCAAAUUACUAACUCACUCAAUUAGUGCCCCCUUCCCUUUCCACCAGUGCUCAGUAAUCACAGAAUGUCAGCCCCAGAGAGCUCAGGCUUUGCAGGCGGGGGCUCCUGUCUUAUCGAGGGGUGGAAGUGCACUCUACUGACGCUGCGGACGUUGGUACAGGCAGAGGAAAAACACUCCUGGGCGGGGCUCCCAUGCCUAUCUGAAGGGAGUGCAAAGGAGCUGCCCUUGUGCCUCCCAGACACAGAAAGCAAGAGUUGGGCAAUGCAGGCAGCCCUCUGAGGCUGUGUGCUUUGGGAUGGAGUCUACAAGUUCAUUAUGCCAAAAAUUCAUCUGCAAAAUGGGAUAAGUACAGAGCAUAACUUGCAGAAUUGUGGGAGAUUUGAUAAUCCACACAAAGCAAAUGGAAAAACAAAUCACUCCUGUAAGCUGGUUUGCUUAUCCCUCUCCCUCUCCCUCUCUCCCUCUCUCCCUCUCUCCCUCUCGCUCCCUCUCUCCCUCUCCCUCUCCCCCACUCUCCCUCUCCCAAUGUCCCUUCCUCUCCCAAUCUCUCUCUCUCUCCCGGGCCGCCACCGCCGCCCCAAGUGCUAGGAUUAUAUUAGACGGGUUCACCAUUAUUUCGGACUCGGGAAACUAUUAUAUAAAAGUACAACUUUGAGCAGGCAGUGGUGGCAUACUCCUUUAAUCCAAGGACUUGGAGGCAGAGACAGGUGGUUCUCUGAGUUCAAGGCCAGCCUGGUCUCCAGAGUGAGUUCCAGGACUAGAAACCUAGUCCAGGACUAGUGUAGUUCCAGCUAGGGCUACACAGAGAACGCUUGGAGAAAGAAAAAUAAAAGAAAAGAAAAAAGCACAACUUUGAGUCUUUUGUAGAAAAGCAUGUCUCUUAAUGACCACAUCAAUAUUUCUCCUCCUCUCUCUCCCCCUGCCCUUUAUCCCCCUCCCUCUUUCCCCUCCUCCAUGGGCUCAUGCACCAAUUGUAUCUCAGAGCUAUGUGCCAUCGUUUCCUGAUCUCUUUUAAAAGACACAGAGAACCGAGGGCUGGCAAGAUGUCUCAGUGGGUAAAGAUGCUUACUGCCAUGCCUAACAACCUGAGUUUGAUCCCUUAGGCCCACAUGGUGGAAAGAGAGAAACAGCUCCCGUAAGUUG